GUGUCAGCAGCCGCGGUAAUACGAAGGGGGCUAGCGUUGUUCGGAAUUACUGGGCGUAAAGCGCGCGCAGGCGGUUUUUCAAGUCAGUGGUGAAAGCCCGGAGCUCAACUCCGGAACUGCCAUUGAAACUGUAAAACUUGAGGAUGAGAGAGGUGAGUGGAAUUCCCAGUGUAGAGGUGAAAUUCGUAGAUAUUGGGAAGAACACCGGUGGCGAAGGCGGCUCACUGGCUCAUAUCUGACGCUCAGGCGCGACAGCGUGGGGAUCAAACAGGAUUAGAUACCCUGGUAGUCCACGCCGUAAACGAUGAAUGCUAGCCGUUGGGCAGCUUGCUGUUCAGUGGCGCAGCUAACGCAUUAAGCAUUCCGCCUGGGGAGUACGGCCGCAAGGUUGAA
rnacentral:rRNA from 1 species